GGAAGCUGUAGGCUACAGAAAACCAUAACUUUCCACUGCUUUGUUUGCUGAUGAGGAAAUAUUAGUCCUCACAUAGAAUAUUCUACAUGAGGGGAAAAUGUGCGUCAGAAAGAAGGCUGCUCUGACAAUUUUCUGCAUAGAGAAAGGUUCUGUUACCUGCAGAAUAAUAGUGCAGAACCAGAUUAUCACUUCUGAGAGAACUGAACCAUACUGACAGCUUUCACUUUUAAAAAAGGCUGGUAAGCCCCACUGCUGUUGGUAGAAAACAGAAGCUGUGUUCCUAGAAUAUGCCCAGGAGAAAGCUUCACAUCUUUCGAUUGGUCAUUUCAAGACAGAUUGCUCAAGGAGUGCUUCAUGGAAAAACCAUUUGCUUUGCAGAGAAACCACCAGCACCAGUCACUGGAGUGCUUUAGCUCCACCUGCCUGUGUUUCCCCACUACAGAGAAGCUUUCCAGGAAAGGCAGAAGCUGAACAGAAGAUGAAUUCAGUGGCAUUUUUUCAUUUGUACUCCCAAGCAAUUAUAUACUGACUUGAAUAUUGAAGCAAUGUGUGACAAUCGUGACUAAUGUUAUUCUUCGUAUGUAGGAAGUCCUGGUUCCAGUUCCAAGGAGCGGGUCUGAAUGCAGAGGAGAUGACUCUUAAAGAGAACAGUGAUGGGCAAGGCUGGGAGCAUAGAUAUUUGGUGAGUGUCCUGGCAUUGCUGCCUAACUGGAUAUACAAAAACAAGGAUAUUGCCAAGAGUCUGUUAUAAAUUUAACUGUCACUUGAACCUUCUGCAUAAUACUAAUUUUUUUUUCUUGUUGGCUCUGCACUUGAGGGGAAAAAAGCUUGAAAUAAGAACAGGUUGAGAAGACAGCUGACUGAUAUAUGGGUUUGCUAGUACGCAGUGGUAAAGCAGAUGAACUUCUAUCUUUCCUUGAAUUUUUUUUUAAUGAUGAACACCAUAUCCUUGGUGACAUUUGUAAUGAUUAGGGAAAUGUAAUUGAUUUGCAGAAAGGAACCUCAAGAACUGCCUCCAAGAAUUACAGAACCCAUAAUGACAAGUAAAGAUUACAUUUCCCAGCUAAGAAUUUCAAUUAUGCAUGCCUUUGAAUCAGGUUGGACUAGUCCUGGCAGUUUUUUUUGGUAACAUUUCAGAAAUGGUUUGCUCUUGCCUGUUUCUUAGAGGUAAGGGAGAGUGACUGGCCCAAGGUCUCUUACCUGGCUUUGUGCCUAAGGUGAGAGUAGAAUGCACAGUCUUGUAGUUUCUGGUCUGGCACCUUAAGGGUCAAGACAGGAGUGUCAAACUUUAUUUCAUUGAGGGAUGCAUCAGGGUUGUUUGAUCUGGGGUGGGCGUAGCCACACUGGAUGUGGCCAGCUUGACAUCUCUUGUAUCAGGGGGCGCAUGUGGUGUCCUGAGUGCUCUGCCAGCAAAAAUAGACUCCCAAGCUCCGUUUUUGGCUGGGACAGCU